UCGCCCCCCCCAAAGCUAUCUUGUAGAAGUUCUUGUCCGAUCACCGAAGUCAAGCAAUGUUGGGCCAGGUCAGUAUUUGGGAGGGUGACCACCUGGGAACAUCGGGAGCUGUAGGCU